rnacentral:lncRNA from 1 species
CGGAAAACUGGGAAUUCCUUGAAGAUCGCCCGGAAAACUGGAAAAACUUUGAAUAUCGGCCGGAAUCUGGAAAAUCUUUGAAGAUUGCCGGAAAUUCGCCUGAAAUUUCGCCUAAAAGCUAGAGGAUAUUUGAGAGUGUUUGGGAGGAUUUUUAGCUCUUGAACUUGGAAACUAUUGUGUGAAAUGAGAAAUGAAAUCUCAAGUCACACAUUAUAUAGAAAAAGCUUAACCCGUUCACUUGCCGGUAAACCCUAAAAUGAACUGGCUACAGCCAGUAGAAUGGGCCUUGGGCCGGUCAUCAAGCCUUGUCAAAGGCGGGAAGCCCAUAGACUUGAAAAAUUCGAACCUAUUCUAGAAGGAUCUCAAGAAUUCUGGGAGACACACGCAAAAAAUAAAGAAAAAUAAGCUAUAUAGGCCUGACAGGUUAUAGACUAAGGCCCACAACCUAUAACGGUAACAUGUUCCUAAGACGGUUAUAUCAAAAUGCUUUAUUUACGAAAUACCAACGUGCCUCCUUGGCGGGGUUACCCCCGCCUAGGAAGCAUAACAAAUCAAGCCUGAGAAGGCCUUAAAGACAACCACGCCUAGGAAGCAUAUUUCCUAGGCGUGGUACAGCACUAUGUCUCCUUGGCGGGGAUACCCACGCCUAGGAAGCAUAAGAAAUCAAGCCUGAGAAGGCCUUAAAGACAACCACGCCCAGGAAGCAUAUUUCCUAGGCGUGGUACAGCACUAUGUCUCCUUGGCGGGGAUACCCACGCCUAGGAAGCAUAAGAAAUCAAGCCUAAGAAGGCCUUUAAGACAACCACGCCCAGGAAGCAUAUUUCCUAGGCGUGGUACAGCACUAUGUCUCCUUGGCGGGGAUACCCACGCCUAGGAAGCAUAAGAAAUCAAGCCUGAGAAGGCCUUAAAGACAACCACGCCCAGGAAGCAUAUUUCCUAGGCGUGGUACAGCACUAUGUCUCCUUGGCGGUUGUACCCACGCCAAGGAAGCAAUACUUGAAGAAAGCAUUGUCCAACCACGCCAAGGAAGCACUUUUUCUUGGCGCGCUGCCAAAUUAUGUCUACUGGGCGCGUGCACCAACGCCUAGGAGACAUUUCACUCUGGAAAGGCAUGACCGAUUCUAGGAGCAUGCCUCCUACGCGUGGCUGCUAAAAUGCCUCCUUGGCGGGUGUAGCCACGCCAAGGAGACUAAACAUGUGGAACAACACUCAGCAACGCCCAGGAGACGAGUCUCCUAGGCGUGGCUCAUUGGAUGCCUCCUUGGCGGGGGUACCCACGCCUAGGAAGCAUCUCCUGGAGAGGGAUGGGUUUUUAUUAAAGGAUUAUUUAAUUCUUUAUGAAAAUACCCAAAAAAUUCCCCAAAAUUUGGAAAAAUACAAGAAAAAUUCCUGAAAAAUCAGGAAAAAUGGUAAAAUUGGGAUUUUAAUUUCAAAAAAUAUUUUGGAAAUUCUUUAAAGGCUCAAAAAAUUCUAGAAAAUUGGAAUUUAAUUGCAGAAAUUCCAAUUUAAUUGAAUUAAGCCC